rnacentral:rRNA from 1 species
AGUGAACGCUGGCGGCGUGCUUAACACAUGCAAGUCGAACGAGAACGAGUUAUAGCUUGCUAUAAUUGUCAGCUAAGUGGCGCACGGGUGAGUAAUGUAUAGGUAAUAUGCCUCUUAAUAAGGGAUAACAAAUGGAAACGUUUGCUAAUACCUUAUACUCCUUAUUAACAUAAGUUAAUAAGGGAAAGAUUUAUUGGUAAGAGAAGAGCCUGUAUUGUAUCAGUUAGUUGGUGGGGUAAUGGCUUACCAAGACUAUGACACAUAACUGGUGUGCGAAAAUGUUCAGUCACACUGGAAAUGAGACACGGUCCAGACUCCUACGGGAGGCAGAAGUGCGGAAGAUUGCACAAUAGUCGAAAGUCUGAUACGGCAACCCCGCGUGGAGGAUGACACAUUUCGGCGCUUAAACUCCUUUGAUGUGAGAAGAUAAUGACGGUAUUAUAUGAAUAAGCCCCGUCGACCUCCGUGCCAGCAGCCGCCGUAA